AAAUCUUCAAAACUUUCAACAACGGAUCUCUUGGUUCUCGCAUCGAUGAAGAACGCAGCGAAAUGCGAUAAGUAAUAUGAAUUGCAGAUUUUCGUGAAUCAUCGAAUCUUUGAACGCACAUUGCGCCCUAUGGUAUUCCAUAGGGCAUGCCUGUUUGAGCGUCAUUUC
rnacentral:rRNA from 1 species